rnacentral:tRNA from 1 species
GGAGCUUAGGUAGGCAGCACCGGAGUCCUGUAAGUGCUUGAAAGACAAUGAAAUAGUCGAUUCACACGGUGGAAGUCGUAGGUUCGAAUCCUGCUGUGCCCACCA